CAUUCAGUAGCCUAGCUACUUGUUUAUACCCUUGUUUUUUUGCGUACCUAUUGUUUCCUCGGUGGGCUUGCCUGCCGGUUGGACAAAACUAUAACCUUUUUAAAUCUUCAAUCAGCGUCUGAAUUAUACAUAAUAAUUA
rnacentral:misc_RNA from 1 species